rnacentral:lncRNA from 1 species
CCCAAUGCCACAUUUUCAAAGCAAAGGACCCCGCAAACAUCUUGCGGUAUCUGAACACAUACCCUGUCGGACAAAAUGUGUACGUCGUGAUGGCCCAACCUCAUCAAAUUGGCGCUCCUCCGUUCUGUGUACAAUAUUUUUGUACAGACAACCGCUUUACCACUGAGCAGGUUUCCAAAAGAUGGAAAUAUUUUAGAGAAAGGUGUGAUGAAUCCGGUGUGCGAAUUAUAAGCAUAUCAAGUGAUGGUGAUCCAAGGCCGAUCGGAGCUAUGAUAGAGGAUAUGGGAAUGCCGAAUCAUAGUUUGAACGAGUACGGAGAUGAUUUUAUUGCAUCCACUGCACCCAAGUCCUGCCCUCUACAAGAUCCGACGCACAAAAUCAUCAAAUUACGCACGCGAAUGAUGAAAAAGGAAGUUGAACUGCUGUUGGGUGAUAAAAGAAUAUCUCGUGUCCAUUUGGAGUGCAUGAUAGACCAAGAAUCCAUAAUAGUUCACGGAUUGACGCAUACUGAUUUAAACGACUCAGACAAAAUGAAGUUUGCACCUGUUGAAAAAUUACGAAGACGCGAGUAACCGAAUGUUUGAUUAAACCUGUCCCAGAAUCUGAAGGUACCGUGUUGUAUUUAACGAUGAUGCGUUACAUGAUGGAAGUGUUUAUUAAACAUCUCUCUCGGCAAAUUUCGACACCAAAAGAUGCAAUCUCGAAACUAUGGUAUGUUUUAUUCAUUGUCCGAGCGUGGAGAAACCAUUGCAUUUCGAAGUAUAAUACGAUCAAACAUAGUAUAACCACGAAUGCUUACUGGUGUAUAGAAAUUAACGCGCACAGUUUAAUUAACUACAUAGCAAUGUGCAACAUUUAAAAUACCAACCAGAACUUCUGCAAAGCCAAACCUGUGAAGCAUUCUUUCGAACCGCUAGAUCGUUUACGUCUACUGAAUCCACUGUAAUUAACUUCACGAUGAUGGGAUUCGAAUCUAAACUAAACCGCAUACAAGCCAAGACUGAAAUAGCACACGAUUCCUCGAACGGGUUUGUUUUCCCCAGAACGCAAGAGACUGAACGAACCAUCACCGAGCACAUCUUCCCAAGUACGGAAAACGUAAAGCAUUUAAUUAUGGAAUCUAAAGAACGAGCUGCCAACACACUUAUUGGUUUUGGCUUAACACGAGAAGAGCUCAAUUUUGACGAAUCUAUUGUUUUACGCCAAGGGUCAAGCCAGCAAUCAAAAAAACAAGCAGGUAACUUUGAAUUUAUUAAUGUGGACAGUAUAACCAGCGAGGACGAGAACGAUUAUGAGGACAAUCUUUUCGACGACGACGAAAGCCAUGUCAUUGUAGACGAUGAAGACCAUCUCAUAGACGACAACGAGGAGCAUUUAAGUCAGACAGUUGCAAAACCCGACGAAAUAAGGUCUGACGUCGUUUACGAUGCAGAGACUUUAUUUUCAAACUUGUCGGAAUUCGUUAACCUUGAGGAGUCGCGAAAGGCGAACAAAAAUCAUUCGUUUAAAAUCAAAAACUUAAACGGAAAAAUUAUUUCAAUAAACAUAAGCACAUUCCUGUGGAUCUGCAAGCCAAACAUUGAACGGUGUAAUACCGACCGGACUAAGCGUUUCCAAGAAAAAUCUAACAAAGCUGUAUUGCCGCUAAACACGACCGACGAGACAAAAUCAGCGAUUCGAAGAGGUAUGGGUAGUAAUGCGGUAUUACAGCAAGUUUGUUAUCGUUCACGUACAUGGAUUUAAAUACUUAUCGGGUAGCAGAACCACAUUUACUCUGGAUGAGUGUCCUAUCGUCGCACCCACGAGCAGUACUUCGAAAGGCGUAGGAGUUUCGGGCCUGUUUUUUUCGGUUGGAGACACACUGGCGCUAGAAUUGAAACCAAAUGUACUAAACAGAAACAUAAACAUCGCAAACUACGUAACGCAUCUACAACCUCCAGUACACAAUGGAUCUAGCUGGAUGCUCUUAUCCCGUCAACUAGACUACCUUAAAUCCUUUGUAGAACAGCAACCUUGAUUAGUAAGAAGAGCUGAAUGAUUUUAACCGCCACCCAACACGAACCAUAAACAAACAAAAUGAUUGAAACCCGAUUAUCGACUCAACAACAACACAAAUUUCGCACACCUUGAUUAUGAUGUGAAGCUUUUUUACUAAUGCAACUCUCAUUCGCAUCUGGACACGCAACGCUCAAGUGGUGCACCGAUGUCCCGAUUGCCCACAGGGGAUGGCGGCCAAUCUCAGCUGCCAGGACUUUGACGCACACGUCAACCCAAUCGGAAUGAACUUAUUCUGCAAGACGAGAUGGGCCGGGCACCAUGACCAGCUGACGUCCGUAACGAUCGACGAUGACCUGGCCGACGACGAGCUUCGUGUUUUCGCGCUAGCAGUCGCAACUACGAGUGGGUCCAGGACCAAGCGGACGUCCGUAACGAUCGACUAUGACCUGGCCGACGACGAGCUUUACGUUUCUCCGCUGGGCAGAGACAACUAAAAGUGGUUCGAGCUAAUCCACGCGCUCAAGUGGUGCACCGAUGUCCCGAUUGCCCACAGGGAAUGACGGCCAAUCUCAGCUACCAGGACUUUGACGCACACGUCAACCUAAUUGGCAUGAACUCGCAAGACGCGAUGAACCGGCAGUGGUGGCGGAAGUAGUGUGGGUGAGACUUGAACGAAAAUGUUUUUGGAGACGAGGAGAUUCCCGAGCACGAGACGAAGCCGCCGAUUGAAAACGCCGCAACCGGACCGGAUUGCGCGCAACGUGAGCAUUAUGCAUCCCGAAGAACUCCAACGGAAUUUUCAACUAGCAAUACGCUUAACACUGCACUAUAAGAAAAUUCUGCUUCUCCAAUGUAAUUCUUAAGAAUAUAAAGUGAAUCUGAUUUAAUACGUUA